UACGGAGGGGGCUAGCGUUGUUCGGAAUUACUGGGCGUAAAGCGCACGUAGGCGGCUUUGUAAGUUAGAGGUGAAAGCCCAGGGCUUAACCCUGGAAUUGCCCUUAAGACUGCAUCGCUAGAAUUGUGGAGAGGUGAGUGGAAUUCCGAGUGUAGAGGUGAAAUUCGUAGAUAUUCGGAAGAACACCAGUGGCGAAGGCGACUCACUGGACACAUAUUGACGCUGAGGUGCGAAAGCGUGGGGAGCAAACAGG
rnacentral:rRNA from 1 species